ensembl:lncRNA
GCCGGACUCCCGGCCUGAAGAUCGCGGUUCGGUUCCGCCUCUGAGCGGCCGCGGGGCUCCCGGCCUGGAAAGGGCGCUCGCGAGUCGCCUCCAGCAUCGCAGCAGCCCGGCUGAGGUUACUCAGCAGCUGGUCGGUAACCGAUUGGUUCUCAGGGACUGGAAAUCCUCCCCAGGACAGAUGGGGAUAAUAACCCGGACCAGCUGGGAGGACGGAAGGAGAGGAUGCUGGAAAAGGUGCACUCAGCGCUGGCGCCCUGCACAGCACACUAGGGAAUCAGCAUCAUCCUUUGACCCAGGCCAGGCAAGCUGCAGGUUGUCAUCUCCAGAAGAGGCCAGAAAAUAGACAGUCUACAGGAAUAUUUACUGCGCUUGCAUGAGAAAAAUUUCCAAGCUACCCCCUGAAGCAAUGAAGUUGGAUAUGG